UCCUCUUCCUCGCCGGCUCCCCUCCUCGCUCCGCCCGUGCAAACUCCUUGCGUGCUUGGUCUGCGCUGCUUCGCCCCGAGAUCCUUUGGGGGUCCCUGGAGAUGCCAGCUGGCUUCUUCUCCAUUGACGGAAACUGUCAGCAUUCAUUCAUGACGUAGCAAUACCGAGUUAAGGCACAGAGUUCGGAGCACUUCCUGGCUUGUGGAAGAGUUUCUACAGGGGAUUCGAACCAGAUUUGGAAUGGAGUUAAGACGACUGGGUGGAACUGACCAUUUCCUGGCCGGAUUCCUUUCCUGACGCCUACAUGGAGUUAGCAGCAGAUAUUUUCUCUUUGCAACCUGAUAGAGAAACAUCUGCCGCUGCCUAGACUUGAACUCUCCACCUACUGAGUGGG